UAGCUUUUGUUUCACACUAUUUUUCUUGCACUGCCGUCAUUUCUCUGCUACUGUCCUACGCUUUGAAGCUUCAUUUUCUUUUUAUUAUUUGGUGACUUGGCUUGUCAUGUUAUUAUGGAUUGUGUAAUUGGACUUAGUAAGCUAAAACAUGUACUUUGUUAAUAUGGCUAUUGAAAUGGCAAUGCAUUGGAUUUGGUUAAUUGAAAGUUAAAAAAUAAAUGGGCUUAUGAAUUGUUUUGGACAUUAGCAAUGAAUCUAAAUGGUUAUGGAUGUAGAUUAUGGGAUAAAUGGAUAAAAAAAUGGAUCAUGGUUAAGUUGGAUUGUGUUAAAAUCAAACUAAAUGGAUUGUGAAUUAUGAUUUGGAUAACGAAACGGGAUUAUUCGAAAA
rnacentral:lncRNA from 1 species